rnacentral:rRNA from 1 species
CCUACGGGUGGCAGCAGUGAGGAAUAUUGGUCAAUGGACGCAAGUCUGAACCAGCCAUGCCGCGUGCAGGAAGACGGCUCUAUGAGUUGUAAACUGCUUUUGUACGAGGGUAAACGCAGAUACGCGUAUCUGUCUGAAAGUAUCGUACGAAUAAGGAUCGGCUAACUCCGUGCCAGCAGCCGCGGUAAUACGGAGGAUUCAAGCGUUAUCCGGAUUUAUUGGGUUUAAAGGGUGCGUAGGCGGUCGGAUAAGUUAGAGGUGAAAUCCCGAGGCUCAACUUCGGAAUUGCCUCGGAUACUGGUCGGCUAGAGAGCAGUUGCGGUAGGCGGAAUGCAUGGUGUAGCGGUGAAAUGCUUAGAGAUCAUACAGAACACCGAUUGCGAAGGCAGAUUACCAAGCUACUUCUGACGCUGAGGCACGAAAGCGUGGGUAGCAAACAGGAUUAGAUACCCCUGUAGUC